rnacentral:rRNA from 1 species
UACGAAGGGGGGCUAGCGUUGUUCGGAUUUACUGGGCGUAAAGCGCACGUAGGCGGAUUGUUAAGUCAGGGGUGAAAUCCCGGAGCUCAACUCCGGAACUGCCUUUGAUACUGGCAAUCUAGAGUCCGGAAGAGGUGAGUGGAACUCCUAGUGUAGAGGUGGAAUUCGUAGAUAUUAGGAAGAACACCAGUGGCGAAGGCGGCUCACUGGUCCGAUACUGACGCUGAGGUGCGAAAAGCGUGGGGAGCAAACAGG